GUGCUCAAUUUGGCAGCACAUACCCUAAAACUGGAAUGAUACAGAGAAGAUGAGCAUAGCUCCUUCGAAGGAUGACACACAAAUUCCUGAAGCGUUCAAUAUUUUU
ensembl:snRNA U6 U6 spliceosomal RNA